rnacentral:rRNA from 1 species
UACGGGGGGGGCAAGCGUUGUUCGGAAUUACUGGGCGUAAAGGGCUCGUAGGCGGCCAACUAAGUCAGACGUGAAAUCCCUCGGCUUAACCGGGGAACUGCAUCUGAUACUGGAUGGCUUGAGUUCGGGAGAGGGAUGCGGAAUUCCAGGUGUAGCGGUGAAAUGCGUAGAUAUCUGGAGGAAUACCGGUGGCGAAGGCGGCAUCCUGGACCGGCAUUGACGCUGAUGAGCGAAAGCCAGGGGAGCAAACGGG